rnacentral:tRNA from 1 species
GCCCAGCUAGCUCAGUUGGUAGAGCAUGAGACUCUUAAUCUCAGGGUUGUGGGUUUGAGCCCCAUGUUGGGUG